rnacentral:misc_RNA from 1 species
AACUUACCUACAACGUUGCCUCGGCGGGAACAGACGGCCCCGUAGAACGGGCCGCCCCCGCCAGAGGACCCCCUAACUCUGUUUCUAUAAUGUUUCUUCUGAGUAAACAAGCAAAUAAAUUAAAACUUUCAACAACGGAUCUCUUGGCUCUGGCAUCGAUGAAGAACGCAGCGAAAUGCGAUAAGUAAUGUGAAUUGCAGAAUUCAGUGAAUCAUCGAAUCUUUGAACGCACAUUGCGCCCGCCAGUAUUCUGGCGGGCAUGCCUGUUCGAGCGUCAUUACAACCCUCAGACCCCCGGGUCUGGCGUUGGGGAUCGUCCCCCAAAUACAGUGGCGGUCACGCCGCAGCUUCCAUUGCGUAGUAGCUAACACCUCGCAACUGGAGAGCGGCGCGGCCAUGCCGUAAAACACCCAACUUCUGAA